rnacentral:rRNA from 1 species
AGAGUUUGAUCAUGGCUCAGGAUGAACGCUGGCGGUAUGCCUAACACAUGCAAGUCGUACGAGAGUUUUUAACUCUAGUGGCGGACGGGUGAGUAACACGUAAGAAUUUACCUUCAGGAGGGGGAUAACAAUUGGAAACAAAUGCUAAUACCCCAUAUGCUUUCGAGUGAAAUGGAUUUAUAUUUAUCCGCCUAAAGAGAAGCUUGCGUCUGAUUAGCUUGUUGGUAAGGUAAAAGCUUACCAAGGCGACGAUCAGUAUCUGGUUUGAGAGGACGAUCAGACACACUGGAACUGAGACACGGUCCAGACUCCUACGGGAGGCAGCAGUGGGGAAUUUUCCGCAAUGGGCGAAAGCCUGACGGAGCAAUACCGCGUGAGGGAAGACUGCCUAUGGGUUGUAAACCUCUUUUUUCAGGGAGGAACAAAAUGAGCGUGUACCUGAAGAA